CGGCGGACGGGUGAGUAACGCGUGGGUAACCUGCCUCAUACAGGGGGAUAACAGUUAGAAAUGGCUGCUAAUACCGCAUAAGACCACAGCACCGCAUGGUGCAGGGGUAAAAACUCCGGUGGUAUGAGAUGGACCCGCGUCUGAUUAGCUAGUUGGUGGGGCAACGGCCUACCAAGGCGACGAUCAGUAGCCGACCUGAGAGGGUGACCGGCCACAUUGGGACUGAGACACGGCCCAA
rnacentral:rRNA from 1 species